GAUAACUGGCUUGUGGCAGCCAAGCGUUCUUAGCGACGUUGCUUUUUGAUCCUUUGAUCUUGGCUCUUCCUAUCAUUGCGAAGCAGAAUUCGCCAAGCGUUGGAUUGUUCACUCACCAACAGGGAACGUGAGCUGGGUUUAGACCGUCGUGAGACAGGUU
rfam:Lottia gigantea unplaced genomic scaffold LOTGIsca_24, whole genome shotgun sequence.